CCUACGGGUGGCUGCAGUGGGGAAUAUUGGACAAUGGGCGGAACCCUGAUCCAGCGACGCCGCGUGAGUGAAGAAGUCUUUCGGUAUGUAAAGCUCUAUUAGCAGGGAAGAAAAUGACGGUACCUGACUAAGACUCCCCGGCUAACUACGUGCAAGCAGGCGCGGUACUACGGGGGGGGCAGGCGUUAUCCGGAUUUACUGGGGGUAAAGCGGGCGUAGACGGUGUAGCAAGUGUGGGGUGUAAGGUCGGGGCCCAAACCCGGGCCUGCAGUUGACACUGGUGGACUGGAGUACAGGAGAGGUAAGCGGAAUUCGUGGUGUAGCGGUGAAAUGCGUAGAUAUGAGGAAGAACACCAAUGGCGAAGGCAGCUUACUGGACUGUAACUGACGUUGAGGCUCGAAAGCGUGGGGAGCAAACAGGAUUAGAUACCCUAGUAGUC
rnacentral:rRNA from 1 species